rnacentral:rRNA from 1 species
CUUGACAUACCGAUGACAGGUCUAGAGAUAGUAUUUCCCUUUUAGGGCAUCGGAUACAGGUGGUGCAUGGUUGUCGUCAGCUCGUGUCGUGAGAUGUUGGGUUAAGUCCCGCAACGAGCGCAACCCUAUUGUUAGUUGCCAUCAUUAAGUUGGGCACUCUAGCGAGACUGCCAGUAAUAAACUGGAGGAAGGUGGGGAUGACGUCAAAUCAUCAUGCCCCUUAUGACCUGGGCUACACACGUGCUACAAUGGGAAGUACAACGAGUUGCGAGGCGGUGACGCCAAGCUAAUCUCUUAAAGCUUCUCUCAGUUCGGAUUGUAGGCUGCAACUCGCCUACAUGAAGUCGGAAUCGCUAGUAAUCGCGGAUCAGCACGCCGCGGUGAAUACGUUCCCGGGCCUUGUACACACCGCCCGUCACACCACGAGAGUUUGUAACACCCGAAGUCGGUGAGGUAACCGUAAGGAGCCAACCGCCUAAGGUGGGAUAGAUGAUUGGGGUGAAGUCGUAACAAGGUAGGCGUAGAUGA